GAGAACGCUGGCGGCGUGCCUAACACAUGCAAGUCGAGCGAGUGAAUCUCCUUCGGGAGUGAAGCUAGCGGCGGACGGGUGAGUAACACGUGGGCAACCUGCCUCAUAGAGGGGAAUAGCCUUUCGAAAGGAAGAUUAAUACCGCAUAAGAUUGUAGCUUCGCAUGAAGUAGCAAUUAAAGGAGCAAUCCGCUAUGAGAUGGGCCCGCGGCGCAUUAGCUAGUUGGUGAGGUAACGGCUCACCAAGGCGACGAUGCGUAGCCGACCUGAGAGGGUGAUCGGCCACAUUGGGACUGAGACACGGCCCAGACUCCUACGGGAGGCAGCAGUGGGGAAUAUUGCACAAUGGGGGAAACCCUGAUGCAGCAACGCCGCGUGAGUGAUGACGGCCUUCGGGUUGUAAAGCUCUGUCUUCAGGGACGAUAAUGACGGUACCUGAGGAGGAAGCCACGGCUAACUACGUG
rnacentral:rRNA from 1 species